rnacentral:pre_miRNA from 1 species
CUUGGCACUGGAAGAAUUCACAGAUGUGGUCGGAAAGUCGUGGGUUCUUGGGUGCCAAAGA